rnacentral:rRNA from 1 species
AUUGAACGCUGGCGGAAUGCUUUACACAUGCAAGUCGAACGGCAGCACGGGGCAACCUGGUGGCGAGUGGCGAACGGGUGAGUAAUACAUCGGAACGUGCCCAAUCGUGGGGGAUAACGUAGCGAAAGUUACGCUAAUACCGCAUACGAUCUACGGAUGAAAGCGGGGGAUCGCAAGACCUCGCGCGGACGGAGCGGCCGAUGGCAGAUUAGGUAGUUGGUGGGAUAAAAGCUUACCAAGCCGACGAUCUGUAGCUGGUCUGAGAGGACGACCAGCCACACUGGGACUGAGACACGGCCCAGACUCCUACGGGAGGCAGCAGUGGGGAAUUUUGGACAAUGGGGGAAACCCUGAUCCAGCCAUGCCGCGUGCAGGAUGAAGGCCUUCGGGUUGUAAACUGCUUUUGUACGGAACGAAAAGACUCUUUCUAAUACAGAGGGUCCAUGACGGUACCGUAAGAAUAAGCACCGGCUAACUACGUG